UUUUUUAAUUUUGAAAUUUAAAUUUUGAAUCUUGCUUCUUUAGCUUUUAGGGUUUCUAAGUUUUCUUCUUUCUAUAUCUACUUUGUGUUUGGUGAUGUUGGCUCACACGGAAGGGGGAAGAUUCGUCGGUGGUGGUGAGAUUUAUGGGUUUGGUUGACAUCAGUGUUUAUCUUUCUCGCAAACUUGUGGCGGUCUUUUUCUUCCUCGCAAACUUAAUCAUCUUCGUUACAAGAUUUUAGGGUUCCUUCCUCUUUCACGUUUGACCCACCAGGUUUUGAAAUUUGGGAACAAACAACAACUAUAUAUGCAUGGUGAUCAUGUGAUUUUUAAUGUUGAAGAAAGUUGGCAAAUGGCUAAGUUUUAUAGCAACAAGGGAAAUACGGCUGGUCUUUUCAAUUUGGGAAAUAUCCGUUAUAUGAAUUCAACAUUGCAAUGCCUCUAUUCUGGUCCAGUUUUCAAGUGUGGGAUACCGGGAUCGGUGUUUGUCUCUCUUUUCUCAUGCUUUUUAUUUUCAACAGGAUCCUUACAAAAGCAUAUUAAGGGCGUGUGUGGAGCAACCGUAACAUGGUAAACACCGGCGUGGAUUGAAGUUUAAUUUCAGGAAGGUGAACAGAUCUUACCAUCAAAAUUGAGGUUCAAAACACUUAAAAUGUAACAUGUUUGUGCUGACUGCAAAGGAAGUGAGGAAUAAUGUCAUGUGGAACACCAUAAUUUUGGGGUAUUCGAGAAAUGGUGAUAUGUAUAAAGCAUGUGAUGAAUACAGGAAGAAAGGAAAAAGGAAAGGCUAAAGCAAGUAUGUAUUUUUCUACUCACUUUUUGAGCAGUUAAUCUGGUAUAUUUGAAUAUGUGUCAAAAUUUUAUAAUUAGUGGUGUUUGCAUUGCAAU